rnacentral:tRNA from 2 species
GGGACCAUGAUGGAAUUGGUAGACAUUGCAGACUUAAAAUCUGUUGACCGUUAGGUCGUGAGGGUUCAAGUCCCUCUGGUCCUA